ACGAAAGUCGGGCUUAGUGAUCCGGUGGUUCCGCAUGGAAGGGCCAUCGCUCAACGGAUAAAAGCUACCCCGGGGAUAACAGGCUUAUCUCCCCCAAGAGUCCACAUCGACGGGGAGGUUUGGCACCUCGAUGUCGGCUCAUCGCAUCCUGGGGCUGUAGUCGGUCCCAAGGGUUGGGCUGUUCGCCCAUUAAAGCGGUACGCGAGCUGGGUUCAGAACGUCGUGAGACAGUUCGGUCCCUAUCCGUCGUGGGCGUAGGAAAUUUGAGAGGAGCUGUCCUUAGUACGAGAGGACCGGGAUGGACGCACCGCUGGUGUACCAGUUGUCUUGCCAAAGGCAUAGCUGGGUAGCUAUGUGCGGAAGGGAUAAGUGCUGAAAGCAUCUAAGCAUGAAGCCCCCCUCAAGAUGAGAUUUCCCUGUUACUUUGUAACGUAAGAUCCCUGAAAGAUGAUCAGGUUGAUAGGUCAGAGGUGGAAGCGCGGUGACGUGUGGAGCUGACUGAUACUAAUCGAUCGAGGACUUAACCAAUAA
rnacentral:rRNA from 1 species